CGGACGGGUGAGUAUGUCUGGGAACUGCCCGAUGGAGGGGGAUAACUACUGGAAACGGUAGCUAAUACCGCAUAAUGUCGCAAGACCAAAGAGGGGGACCUUCGGGCCUCUUGCCAUCGGAUGUGCCCAGAUGGGAUUAGCUAGUAGGUGGGGUAACGGCUCACCUAGGCGACGAUCCCUAGCUGGUCUGAGAGGAUGACCAGCCACACUGGAACUGAGACACGGUCCAGACUCCUACGGGAGGCAGCAGUGGGGAAUAUUGCACAAUGGGCGCAAGCCUGAUGCAGCCAUGCCGCGUGUAUGAAGAAGGCCUUCGGGUUGUAAAGUACUUUCAGCGAGGAGGAAGGUGUUGAGGUUAAUAACCUCAGCAAUUGACGUUACUCGCAGAAGAAGCACCGGCUAACUCCGUGCUAGCAGCCGCGGUAAUACGGAGGGUGCAAGCGUUAAUCGGAAUUACUGGGCGUAAAGCGCACGCAGGCGGUCUGUCAAGUCGGAUGUGAAAUCCCCGGGCUCAACCUGGGAACUGCAUCCGAAACUGGCAGGCUAGAGUCGUUGUAGAGGGGGGUAGAAUUCCAGGUGUAGCGGUGAAAUGCGUAGAGAUCUGGAGGAAUACCGGUGGCGACGCGGCCCCCUGGACAAAGACUGACGCUCAGGUGCGAAAGCGUGGGGAGCAAACAGAUUAGAUACCCUGGUAGUCCACGCCGUAA
rnacentral:rRNA from 1 species